rnacentral:rRNA from 1 species
AUGAAGACGGGCCGUACUGGGCCACCACUCGAGCCACGCCGCAGGCCGCAGGCAGGCAAGUCUGGGGACCCCCGUUCCCAGAACGCCGACAGUAGCCCCCGGGCCCAAGGCACGCUCAGACUUGGCUUAGCGGAGAAGCGAAGGGGCAAGCGCGGAGCGCCGCGGGCCCCAUCAGCCUGCGGCCUUGGGCGCCGCGUGGUGGUUGAUUGGACGUGGGCGCCUCUGCUUCCCCACGCUGCCUCGGCAACUGCUCGACUGACAAAAGGCUGGCUCUGGGUUAGCCUUACCUCAUUACCCUCGUUCUCCUUGCUCCAGAUCCCCUUCCUUGCUCUCCGCCUACCUGCCUCCAAAAUCUCCAGAUCUGCCGCAUUCUUUCUCCUCCGGCGAACUAUGGCCCCCCGCAAGACCCUGGCUGGGGCUGCAUCGGCCUGGUACUCGUCGGCCCUGGUCUCUCCCAAUGUGACUGAGAAGAAUCUCGCCCUCACGCGCCGGAUGGCAGCGUCGCAGAUCAACGAGUUCGGGGAGACUGCGCUCCGUCUUGGCUCCGCCCAGCCGAAGGACAAGGGGAGCGCCUUCUAUCCCUUCUUCAUGAACGCCGUCAUCGCUGGUCUGGUUCCUCCCUUCUCUGAGUUCUUCCUUGCUGUCCUUCGCCAAUAUCAGUUGCAUGCUCUGCACAUCCACCCCAACUCCAUCCUCCUCUUGUCGAUCUUCGCCUACUAUUGCGAGGCACACGUCGGGGUGGCGCCCUCCGUGGCCUUGCUGCGCCACUUCUUCUCCCACCGGGUCUCCGGCGGCAAUAUCUCAGCGUGCGCGAGUUUCGUCGCGUACUCCAAGUCCAACGCCAUCUCGAAGGCCGGGAAGAGGGCCGAGGGCUUCCGGAGCAAGUGGGUUAUGGUGAACGCUGGGUGCCACAACCCUCUGCUGGAGCUGUCGACAAAGUGGCCCGAGGCCGCUGAGGCGUGGUCCCGCGCGAAGCUCGAUGAUCGGCGGGCGAAGCAGGUGUUGGAGAAGAUGAACGCCGACCUCAGGCCGGGCAGCCUGAGGGCGGCGAAGCUGACCGGGGCUUCGCUCCUGAGGAAGUUUCUGUCGCACCAGGUGGCCCCUCUUCAGGCGCACUCGCGCUCGCUGUGGAGGCUCGCGGAUGCGGAUGUCGUCCUCCGCCUGAGCUUGGACGCCCUGAGCGACGAGGACCUGACCGCGGCCCUGCGCUGCUUGGUUGGAGAGGAAGUGGCAGGCCCGGUGGGUGCUCCGGUCCCUUUGUUCCUCCGUGAUGACUGGGAGCUGGUGGUGGAUGCCAUGCCCACCUUCGACGAGGUCGGCCUGGUGCCGGCGGAGGAUCCUGAGGGUCAGGCGACGGCGACGGUGAACCUAUCCUCCGGUGAAUCCAGUGGAGAAGAGGAAGGAGAUGACGACGAUGACGAGGAGCGCGACUCGGAGGUGACCUUCGAGGGGACGGGGGAGACUUCUCCCCAGCGUAGGGUGAGCACCCUCCGCUCCAUGCCUGACGACGACGAGGCCGACGCCAGGCGGGGAGGGGAGGACGCGCCCCUGGUCCCAAGGAAGGACAGGUCCGGGCUGAUCUCCCGAGGGGCCACCCCGGCCCCUGCAUCGGCCGAAGUCAGCUCCGGCCCUUCAGGCGCGCCUUCUCUUGCGACUGGGCCUCCCAAGGCUAAGCCCCGCAAGAGGCUUUUAGGCUUCAAGCUUGGCCGGGGUCCGUGGGAUCCCGCGGCAGUCAACAAGUAA